AUUUGGUUUAAUGAUUUUUUUUUCCUUCCCUUUUCUUUAUUUAACACACUAAAUGUCGGGUAACUGCGAGUUAAUAACGAACAUGAUCAGUUUAAUUCAAUUUUCAUUCUUUUCUAUUUCCAUAUAGAAUUGUGGCUGUAACCGCGAAGCAUUUCAUACGGAAAGUCGCCUUUAUUUACAUAAGCAACAUCUUUGUUGUGUGGCUAUAGGAGUUAAAGCAAAAAAGGCGAAUUACUAAAGCACAAUGAAAUGGCAAAUCUUUAGUAAUAAGUAUAUUAUUUCGUGCCGAUGUUCCAUAAACUUGGUUAAAAUAAUUUGGAAACAUGAUUCUAGCUGU